AACGAACGCUGGCGGCAUGCCUAACACAUGCAAGUCGAACGAUUGCCCUCGGGUUAUAGUGGGGCACGGGGUCGUAACGCGGUGGAAACUGCGCUUAGGAUCGGAAUAACACCUGGAAACGGCUGCUAAUACCGGGGGAUAUUACGGGAUCAAAGCUUUUUCGACUGGGGAUGGGUCCGCGAUUGAUUAGGGAGUUGGUGGGGUACACGCCUGCCAAGCCGACGAUCCAUAGCUGGUCUGAGAGGAUGAUCAGCCACAAUGGGACUGAGACACGGCCCAGACUCCUACGGGAGGCAGCAGUGGGGAAUAUUGGGGAAUGGGCGCAAGCCUGGUCCAGCAAUGCCGCGUGAGUGAUGAAGGCCCUAGGGUUGCAAAGCUCUUUUACCCGGGACGAUAAUGACGGUACCGGGUGAAUAAGCCCCGGCUAACUCCGUG
rnacentral:rRNA from 1 species